rnacentral:rRNA from 1 species
GACGAACGCUGGCGGCGUGCUUAACACAUGCAAGUCGAACGAUGAAGCCUUUCGGGGUGGAUUAGUGGCGAACGGGUGAGUAACACGUGGGCAAUCUGCCCUGUACUUUGGGAUAAGCCUUGGAAACGAGGUCUAAUACCGGAUACGAUGAAUCCUCGCAUGGGGGUUUGUUGAAAGUUCUGGCGGUACAGGAUGAGCCCGCGGCCUAUCAGCUUGUUGGUGGGGUAAUGGCCUACCAAGGCGACGACGGGUAGCCGGCCCGAGAGGGCGACCGGCCACACUGGGACUGAGACACGGCCCAGACUCCUACGGGAGGCAGCAGUGGGGAAUAUUGCACAAUGGGCGAAAGCCUGAUGCAGCGACGCGCGU